rnacentral:rRNA from 1 species
AGUGAACGCUGGCGGUAGGCCUAACACAUGCAAGUCGAACGGCAGCACAGUAAGAGCUUGCUCUUACGGGUGGCGAGUGGCGGACGGGUGAGGAAUACAUCGGAAUCUACUUUUUCGUGGGGGAUAACGUAGGGAAACUUACGCUAAUACCGCAUACGACCUACGGGUGAAAGCAGGGGAUCUUCGGACCUUGCGCGAUUGAAUGAGCCGAUGUCGGAUUAGCUAGUUGGCGGGGUAAAGGCCCACCAAGGCGACGAUGCGUAGCUGGUCUGAGAGGAUGAUCAGCCACACUGGAACUGAGACACGGUCCAGACUCCUACGGGAGGCAGCAGUGGGGAAUAUUGCGCAAUGGGCGCAAGCCUGAUCCAGCCAUACCGCGUGAGUGAAGAAGGCCUUCGGGUUGUAAAGCCCUGUUGUUAGGAAAGAAAAGCAGCAGGUGAAUACCCCGCUGUUCUGACGGUACCCAAAGAAUAAGCACCGGCUAACUUCGUG